UCGUGCCCUAGGAAUCCAUUUAUGCACUCCUUGGGAGAACUGUACAGCAGUCAUGGGGAACACACCCAUCCUAGAGACAAAAGAAUCGUGCUUUCCCAGAGCUGAGCCUCCUUCUGCCAAGAAUGAACCUUUAUCAUGAUUGCUGUACUGAAAAGUGAGACACAGGAAGUUCCUAGGUCUACCUGCCAGCAGCAGGAUAUAUUCCCAGAAAAUCAAUUAUACAUGUAAGCAAAAAUAUCAUGGAGAUUAAAGAACAUAUGAAAGAGCAAGCUCAACUCUUCUUUCAGAACACUGUGAAUCAAGAGUAACUUCACUGAAACCAAUGAGUUACAGUGGUGUGAGUGAGAAAAGAACCAGCUCCAUUGUCUGAAAAUUACUCGGACCACCCAUGGAGUCCAAUCACAGGAACUGCAGGCAGCUAAUAUUGCAGCAUUUAAUUCAGAAAGGCCAAGACUGAAAAGAGAAGACUGAAA